UACGGGGGGGGCAAGCGUUGUUCGGAAUUACUGGGCGUAAAGGGCUCGUAGGUGGCCAACUAAGUCAGACGUGAAAUCCCCGGGCUCAACCCGGGAACUGCGUCCGAUACUGGUUGGCUUGAAUCCGGGAGAGGGAUGCGGAAUUCCAGGUGUAGCGGUGAAAUGCGUAGAUAUCUGGAGGAACACCGGUGGCGAAGGCGGCAUCCUGGACCGGCAUUGACGCUGAGGCGCGAAAGCCAGGGGAGCAAACGGG
rnacentral:rRNA from 1 species